UACGAAGGGGGCUAGCGUUGCUCGGAAUCACUGGGCGUAAAGGGUGCGUAGGCGGGUCUUUAAGUCAGGGGUGAAAUCCUGGAGCUCAACUCCAGAACUGCCUUUGAUACUGAGGAUCUUGAGUUCGGGAGAGGUGAGUGGAACUGCGAGUGUAGAGGUGAAAUUCGUAGAUAUUCGCAAGAACACCAGUGGCGAAGGCGGCUCACUGGCCCGAUACUGACGCUGAGACGCGAAAGCGUGGGGAGCGAACAGG
rnacentral:rRNA from 1 species